GCAGGGUCUGACAAGAAACCAUCCAGAAUCCUGUUAGCUAUGAUCUGAUUUGCAGCCUGAGAAUAAUGUAUGCCAUCCCAACUAAUAUAGAGUUCAGGGUUGCUGCAUGGAUCCCCAGAAAUUUCUGUCCCAUUCACCAUUGAAUUUUUCCCACAUGGAACACGGUAAUCCCCAUAAUAUCCACAGCAAUAUCCAAGUGGAUCAGCAAAACCCUGUUU
rnacentral:misc_RNA from 1 species